rnacentral:misc_RNA from 1 species
UCUCCGUAGGUGAACCAGCGGAAGGAUCAUUAGUGGAUUUUGAAACUUCACGCUGCAGCUGGCUCUCCUCGGAGGGCAUGUGCACGCUUGUUGUCCAUUAUUUCUCCCACUGUGCACAAAUUGUAGACCUGUCAGUAGGCCUAUGUUGUUUUUCACAAUUUCUGAAUGUUAUAGGAUGGUUUUGAUUCUUGGGAAAUACAAUGCAACUUUCAGCAACGGAUCUCUUGGCUCUC